UAAAACCAUCUGAGAAUUUGGAGAGCAACAAAAAGUUAUCGAAUGUGCGAGAGCUGGUUAGAAUUACAGUUUGGAUCUUAUUACUGUGUGGGUCAGUUUCAUUUUCUUUUCAAGAAGAAACCCAGUUCAAAAUAGAUGGCAAAGUAAUAGAGCUGGAAGAAUCAAACUUUGAAUCAGCAAUCUCAGCCUUUGACUUGAUCUUGGUCCAUUUUUACGCUCCCUGGUGCGGCCACUGCAAGCGCCUCGCUCCUCAGGUUAGGAACCUGGAUGGUCAACAACUAUGUUAUGCAGCCAUCGGAAUGGUCGCAUUUUAACAUCAGGAGGCCUUGUUGAAUCCAUUAUCAAUCAUGGUCUGGAUUGCUUCUAGUACUACAUGAGAAAGAAGUGGAAGAGUACAGUCCAAGUAGAAAUGAUAUCAAUCCAAGUGCAAAUGAAUCUACGCAGAUCCCUGUUGACAAUGAUGGAACAGAAUCUAGUGGCAGUGAUUACUUUGAUGAAGAUGAAACCUAGUGAAGGUGACUAC